GACGUAGGGCGCGAGCGUUGUCCGGAUUUAUUGGGCGUAAAGAGCUCGUAGGCGGCUUGUCGCGUCGACUGUGAAAUCUCAGAGCUCAACUCUGACAUUGCAGUCGAUACGGGCAGGCUAGAGUUCGGUAGGGGAGACUGGAAUUCCUGGUGGUAGGCGGUGAAAUGCGCAGAUAUCAGGAGGAACACCGGUGGCGAAGGCGG
rnacentral:rRNA from 1 species